rnacentral:rRNA from 1 species
CCUACGGGGGGCAGCAGUGGGGAAUAUUGGACAAUGGGCGGAAGCCUGAUCCAGCCAUGCCGCGUGUGUGAAGAAGGCCUUUUGGUUGUAAAGCACUUUAAGCGAGGAGGAGGCUCUCCUAGUUAAUACCUAGGAAGAGUGGACGUUACUCGCAGAAUAAGCACCGGCUAACUCUGUGCCAGCAGCCGCGGUAAUACAGAGGGUGCGAGCGUUAAUCGGAUUUACUGGGCGUAAAGCGUGCGUAGGCGGCUGAUUAAGUCGGAUGUGAAAUCCCUGAGCUUAACUUAGGAAUUGCAUUCGAUACUGGUCAGCUAGAGUAUGGGAGAGGAUGGUAGAAUUCCAGGUGUAGCGGUGAAAUGCGUAGAGAUCUGGAGGAAUACCGAUGGCGAAGGCAGCCAUCUGGCCUAAUACUGACGCUGAGGUACGAAAGCAUGGGGAGCAAACAGGAUUAGAUACCCUGGUAGUCCAUGCCGUAAACGAUGUCUACUAGCCGUUGGGGCCUUUGAGGCUUUAGUGGCGCAGCUAACGCGAUAAGUAGACCGCCUGGGGAGUACGGUCGCAAGACUAAAACUCAAAUGAAUUGACGGGGGCCCGCACAAGCGGUGGAGCAUGUGGUUUAAUUCGAUGCAACGCGAAGAACCUUACCUGGCCUUGACAUACUAGAAACUUUCCAGAGAUGGAUUGGUGCCUUCGGGAAUCUAGAUACAGGUGCUGCAUGGCUGUCGUCAGCUCGUGUCGUGAGAUGUUGGGUUAAGUCCCGCAACGAGCGCAACCCUUUUCCUUAUUUGCCAGCGAGUAAUGUCGGGAACUUUAAGGAUACUGCCAGUGACAAACUGGAGGAAGGCGGGACGACGUCAAGUCAUCAUGGCCCUUACGGCCAGGGCUACACACGUGCUACAAUGGUCGGUAC